rnacentral:tRNA from 1 species
UGUAACUAAAUGGUAGAGCAUUUGCCUAGCAUGCAUGAGGCCCUAGGUUCAAUUCCUAGUA